GCGGCGGAGGGAGGGCGAGCGGGAGCGCGCAGCCCGGCGUCUCGGCCCGCGCGGCUUCCUGCCUGCGCCCGGCGCUGCUCCUUUUUGCAAAGUUCUGGAGGUCAGAAUUUCAAGAUGUGUCUCCAUGGGCUAAAGUCAGCAUCAACAGGGCUGUGUUCCUUCUGGAAGCUCUAAAGCAACAUUUAAAAUACGGAAGAGACCGAUUCUUCACCGUGGAAUUGCCUUGGCAUCCCUGCCAAAAAACAACUGGAUCUACAUCUGGAUGCUGUUUUGUGCCAGUGAUACAUGUGCCUCUUUUUACACUG
rnacentral:lncRNA from 1 species